GGGCUAUUAGCUCAGGUGGUUAGAGCACACCCCUGAUAAGGGUGAGGUCCCUGGUUCAAGUCCAGGAUGGCCCA
rnacentral:tRNA from 1 species